UAAUUAGCUCAGUUGGUAGAGCACUCGGCUGUUAACCGAUAGGUCGUAGGUUCGAGUCCUACAUC
rnacentral:tRNA from 1 species